GUAGCAAACCCCACGGAUAAAUCCGGGGGCUUGUGAAUCAUUACCUGACCAGCCCAAGUCCCAUCAGGGACUACGUUAUCAGCAAGAGUUAAAGUUCCUACCUUGAAAUGCGACGCUAGUUUCAAGCUCUAGAACCGGAUUGUUAAACAUCUUUAUCAGGUUAAGGAAGUGCAACGCGCGAAAGUACCGACUGAUAACAUUGGCGCAGCGAACUUUACCCUAGCAAUAGG
rnacentral:sRNA from 1 species